UAAGCAUAUCAAUAAGCGCAGGAAAAGAAACCAACAGGGAUUGCCUCAGUAACGGCGAGUGAAGCGGCAACAGCUCAAAUUUGAAAUCUGGCCUCUUGGGGUCCGAGUUGUAAUUUGUAGAGGAUGUUUCGGGUACCGCCUCGGUUUAAAUUUCUUGGAACAGAAUGUCAAAGAGGGUGAGAAUCCCGUCUUGGACCGGCGGUAGGGCCUAUGUGAAACUCCUUCGACGAGUCGAGUUGUUUGGGAAUGCAGCUCAAAAUGGGUGGUAAAUUUCAUCUAAAGCUAAAUAUUGGCCAGAGACCGAUAGCGCACAAGUAGAGUGAUCGAAAGAUGAAAAGCACUUUGAAAAGAGAGUUAAACAGUAUGUGAAAUUGUUGAAAGGGAAGCGCUUGCAACCAGACUUGAGCGCGGCGGUUCCCCCUUGCUUCUGCUUGGGUUACUCCGCCGUGUCCAGGCCAACAUCGGUUCUGGGGGUCGGUCAAAGGCUCUGGGAAUGUAUCUACCCACGGGUAGACUUAUAGACCAGGGUGUCAUGCGACCUCCCGGGACCGAGGAACGCGCUUCGGCUCGGAUGUUGGCGUAAUGGUUGUCAGCGACCCGUCUUGAAACACGGACCAAGGAGUCUAACAUCUAUGCGAGUGUUUGGGUGUCAAACCCGGAACGCGGAAUGAAAGUGAACGGAGGUAGGAAGCUUCGGCUGCACUAUCGACCGAUCCUGAAGUUUACGGAUGGAUUUGAGUAAGAGCAUAGCUGUUGGGACCCGAAAGAUGGUGAACUAUGCCUGAAUAGGGUGAAGCCAGAGGAAACUCUGGUGGAGGCUCGCAGCGGUUCUGACGUGCAAAUCGAUCGUCAAAUUUGGGUAUAGGGGCGAAAGACUAAUCGAACCAUCUGGUAGCUGGUUCC
rnacentral:rRNA from 1 species